CUCAAUUCGCAGGCUGCGUACUUGGUAGGACGCAUUUUGAGGCCGGUGACGUCACAACGCUGCGCGGAGGCCGUCCCAUUUGGCAAAAAUUCUGAGGACGCUUAAAAUGCAGCCUCAAAAUGCGUCCUCCUUUUCCCCGAAUUCUGAGGAUGCAUCGCUACCAUCCUUAGUGGCCUCGCCUCCCACUAGAUUUCCCGAGGUGCUUUGCGCGCUUCUUUUUUUUUUUUUUAAGUAGUUGAAGAAGAAGAAGAAGAAGAAAGUCGUAUUUUCUUCAAGUUACGGACAACCGAAAGCAGCAGCAGCAGCACCGACAGUAGUGCGGAGAACACCUUUAAAUGGAGCAGACAGAGGAGUGGAUAAAAUGACCACCUUAUCAUCGGGGCCAAAAAUACUGCUGCAGGCGGAUGGAGCGAAGGGUUGAGGCAGAAUUCCAUCUACAUGUUGCAUUUCUAUGUAAAAGUCACACAAGUUAAAAGAAGUCCUGUUCAAACACCAACGUACAAAUAUAAUCUUUUGAUCACAACAAAUGAUGCCCAGAUGCCACUCUUUGUAAAUCUCAUAUUUGUGAUAGAAGUGAUCCUUGUGUGGGAAAACUUAAAAAAAAUACAAAGUAUGUUCAGAUUUGGAUAAUGUAAUGAAACACACACACACCUAUAUAUAUAUAUAUAUAUAUAUAUAUAUAGGUGUGUGUGUGUAGGGAAAUUACAUCUUUCAUUUAUUAUAUUCAUGUUAAUUUCCACUUUGAGUAAGCUUAAAAAAGUAAUCUCCAGGUUACCAUUCCAAAGUCUUUUUCUGUAGAAUUUCAUCAAUCCAUCCAAAUCAUGAAACAUUCCUUUUUUCUAGCUUUAAAGAAACACUAUAGAAAAUAGCAUCUGUUGAUA